rnacentral:rRNA from 1 species
AGUGAACGCUGGCGGUAGGCCUAACACAUGCAAGUCGAACGGCAGCACAGUAAGAGCUUGCUCUUACGGGUGGCGAGUGGCGGACGGGUGAGGAAUACAUCGGAAUCUACUUUUUCGUGGGGGAUAACGUAGGGAAACUUACGCUAAUACCGCAUACGACCUACGGGUGAAAGCAGGGGAUCUUCGGACCUUGCGCGAUUGAAUGAGCCGAUGUCGGAUUAGCUAGUUGGCGGGGUAAAGGCCCACCAAGGCGACGAUCCGUAGCUGGUCUGAGAGGAUGAUCAGCCACACUGGAACUGAGACACGGUCCAGACUCCUACGGGAGGCAGCAGUGGGGAAUAUUGGACAAUGGUCGCAAGCCUGAUCCAGCCAGACCGCGUGGGUGAAGAAGGCCUUCGGGUUGUAAAGCCCUUUUGUUGGGAAAGAAAAGCAGCAGGUUAAUACCCCGCUGUUCUGACGGUACCCAAAGAAUAAGCACCGGCUAACUUCGUG